GAGUUAUUUUCCCGUGUAGCUGCCAUUGGUUUUGUUUGUAAAAAUAAACAACUGGUUCGGUGAAACCAGAAUGUUUAACUUUUGUGCUUUUUUCAAUUAUUUCUUGUACUAAAAAUCAAGGGCGAGAUCAAGGUUCUCAACAGUUUUCUUGGCGGAAAAAUGUGGAAGCAAAGCUGCAAAACAAUUUCAUUGAGGCGUGAUAUUGCUCUGCAAAACAAUCAUAAAACCGGUCCGGCAGUUCAUGAAGCAAUAAAGAUAUCGGCGGUGACACGGUUAAUUUGCUAUACGCAACGGAUGAACCCCAAGCCAGCAGUUCCUUUUGAGCCUCUAACGAUCCUUAUGGAGCCCUCGGAUUCGCGACCCAAUAGAAUGUACCGAAUCAGCAGUCAUCCUCUUCAAUCAUCCUUCUUCUACAACGGCCGAAUAAAUCUGAUCUUCAAGCAAUGAGUGGAAUCAGCUACCGGGGAAAAAUUUUUGUUCUUUAUCGGUCGCUUUCAAACAUCCGGACAACUAUCAAUAAAAAUCCAGCGCUAUGCCGUCUCAACUUCUGUCAACCUCCGGAAGAUCGCCAACCAAUAGUGUCCUCUAUGAAUCAUCUACUGGUUACGUUAAAUCAAUCAAUUAGUCUGAUCCCUUUUGUGUACUACCUUCCGGGUCAGAACACGGCUAUGCCCUUCCACGUAAAAUGUCAAAUCACGAGACAGGUGUCCCUUCAUCGAAUCAACAAUGAAAAUACUGUCAUUCUUUUUUAUCGCUGGGAGGCUUGGUUUGUAUUGCACCCGGACGUCCCGGAUACGAGAGACAAGAUACUUUAGGAAUAUGGAACGAUUUCUUCGUUUUGUAUUCUUUACCAUCGAGGAAACAAUAUACCAGCAUUAAUACCCCAUCCACCCCAACGAAAUCAGCUUCAAUGAAGAGCGCACAUCUGAUGUGGAAAUCAGUUAUACCAGCCGAAUCAGCAACCAUGACACGUACCUCGUCAACAUGAACCGGAUUCGCCAUGGAACAUCACCCACAUUGUGCUGCGAUCUCCACAACGAGAGAACACUGUUUGGGUUUCAUAACAGGAGUGUGCUGCAAUAUACCACUAGCGGGGAAUGCACCAAUAUACCAAAAUCGUAUAUAUACUGCAUUACACCAACGGAGCCGGGAGUGUCAUACCUGUGAUGAAGCCUAUCCCGGUGACUGCAUACUGCCUAUCCCGUGACUGCAUAAAUUAUUAUAAGGUUCAGCAGAUUUGCUCAGAUUAUUCCACGCAUAUCGGAAAAACUCAAUGAAUGACACGAUGUGGAGACUACGAUUAAAGCAGAAACUAGCUAUAGGGUUGUAUAUAUUAGAUUAAUUGUAUCUAUCUAUAAUAUAUUGGAAAAAUUUAAUAAAUUUAAAUGUCUUGUCUAUCUUAA